AAAUAGAAAAAUAGUAAAUAGAAAUAAAUAACAUUUCAAUAACAAUAAUAGUUCUCAAACCUGGUAAGCCUCCGGAAAACUCCUCCUCUUACAGGCCUAUUAGCUUACUACCGGUUUUGGGAACAAUUUUCGAAAAAAUCAUUCUUUAGCGUAUCACCACUAUAGCACAAGCAAAAAACAGUAUCCCUCACAGCUUCCGCUCACACCAUGCCACUACUCAUUAACUUCACCGGGUCACGGACAUCAUCUCAUCAGCACUCGAAACAAAAAAAUACUGCGCCGGAGUUUUUUUGGUUGUUGCGAAAGCCUUCGAC